AGCGAACGCUGGCGGCAGGCCUAACACAUGCAAGUCGAGCGCCCCGCAAGGGGAGCGGCAGACGGGUGAGUAACACGUGGGAACGUACCCUUCGGUUCGGAAUAGCCCGGGGAAACUCGGAGUAAUACCGAAUACGUCCGUAAGGAGAAAGAUUUAUCGCCGAAGGAUCGGCCCGCGUCUGAUUAGCUUGUUGGUGAGGUAACGGCUCACCAAGGCUACGAUCAGUAGCUGGUCUGAGAGGANGAUCAGCCACACUGGGACUGAGACACGGCCCAGACUCCUACGGGAGGCAGCAGUGGGGAAUAUUGGACAAUGGGCGAAAGCCUGAUCCAGCCAUGCCGCGUGAGUGAUGAAGGCCCUAGGGUUGUAAAGCUCUUUCGGCGGGAAGAUAAUGACGGUACCCGCAGAAGAAGCCCCGGCCAACUCCGUGCCAGCAGCCGCAGUAAU
rnacentral:rRNA from 1 species